GAUGAAGAACGUAGUGAAAUGCGAUAAGUAAUGUGAAUUGCAGAAUUCAGUGAAUCAUCGAAUCUUUGAACGCACAUUGCGCCCCUUGGUAUUCCGGGGGGCAUGCCUGUUCGAGCGUCAUUUCAACCCUCAAGCUCUGCUUGGUAUUGGGCUCCGUCCUCAGGGACGCGCCUCAAAGACCUCGGCGGUGGCGUCUUGCCUCAAGCGUAGUAGAAAACACCUCGCUUUGGAGUGCUGGGCGUCGCCCGCCGGACGAACCUUUGAAUUUUUCUCAAGGUUGACCUCGGAUCAGGUAGGGAUACCCGCUGAACUUAAGCAUAUCAAUAAGCGGAGGA
rnacentral:misc_RNA from 1 species